rnacentral:rRNA from 1 species
UGGGGAAUUUUGGACAAUGGGGGAAACCCUGAUCCAGCCAUCCCGCGUGUGCGAUGAAGGCCUUCGGGUUGUAAAGCACUUUUGGCAGGAAAGAAACGUCAUGGGUUAAUACCCCGUGAAACUGACGGUACCUGCAGAAUAAGCACCGGCUAACUACGUGCCAGCAGCCGCGGUAAUACGUAGGGUGCAAGCGUUAAUCGGAAUUACUGGGCGUAAAGCGUGCGCAGGCGGUUCGGAAAGAAAGAUGUGAAAUCCCAGAGCUCAACUUUGGAACUGCAUUUUUAACUACCGUGCUAGAGUGUGUCAGAGGGAGGUGGAAUUCCGCGUGUAGCAGUGAAAUGCGUUGAUAUGCGGAGGAACACCGAUGGCGAAGGCAGCCUCCUGGGAUAACACUGACGCUAAUGCACGAAAGCGUGGGGAGCAAACAGG